GCUCGCGUAGCUCAGUCGGUAGAGCGCGUCCUUGGUAAGGACGAGGUCACCGGUUCAAUCCCGUCGCGAGCU
rnacentral:tRNA from 1 species